GAUGAACGCUGGCGGCGUGCUUAAUACAUGCAAGUCGAGCGAACAGACGCUGAGCUUGCUUCUCUGUCGUUUGCCGAGCGCGUGUGUGUCACACGUGGAUCCUCUCCCUAUCUUACUGGUAUCACUUCGAGACACCGGCUCUUAUCCCAGAUAAUCUCUUGCACCACGUUGUUCGUUAGUGAGUGACGGUCUUUCUGUCUCUUCUCGCUGCUUUCGAGCUGCAUUAGCUAGUUGGUAAGGUAACGGCUUACCAAGGCGACCCUGCCUAGACGACCUGUGAGAGUGAUCGGCCACACGGGAACGGAGACACGGACCAGAGGCCUACGAGAGGCAGCAGAAGGGAAUCGGCCGCAAUGGUCGAAAGUCUGACGGAGCGACGCCGCGUGAGUGACGAAGGCCUUCGGAGCGGAAAACUCUGUUAUGAGGGAAGAACAGAUUUGGAAGGAACUGUGCACAGCGUGACGGUACCUAGUCAGAAAGCCACGGCUAACUACGUG
rnacentral:rRNA from 1 species